rnacentral:rRNA from 1 species
UACGGAGGGUGCAAGCAUUAAUCGGAUUUAUUGGGCGUAAAGGGCGCGUAGGCGGAGUGAAAAGUCAGAUGUGAAAUCCCGGGGCUUAACCUCGGAACUGCAUUUGAAACUCUCAUUCUUGAGGGUAGACGGAGAAAGCGGAAUUCCACAAGUAGCGGUGAAAUGCGUAGAUAUGUGGAAGAACACCGGUGGCGAAGGCGGCUUUCUAGUUUAAACCUGACGAUGAGGCGCGAAAGCAAGGGGAUCAAACAGG